rnacentral:rRNA from 1 species
GUUGCUGGUCCUCAAGCGGGGGCAUGUGCACGCUCUGUUAACACAUCCACUCACACCCUGUGCACCCUCUGUAGUUCUGUGNUUGGGGGACCCAUCCUCCUGCUGUGGUUCUGCAUCUUUACACACACACACUGUAACAAAGUCUCAUGGAAUGCAUCUGCGUUUAACGCAAUACAAUACAACUUUCAGCAACGGAUCUCUUGGCUCUCGCAUCGAUGAAGAACGCAGCGAAAUGCGAUAAGUAAUGUGAAUUGCAGAAUUCAGUGAAUCAUCGAAUCUUUGAACGCACCUUGCGCCCUUUGGCCAUUCCGAAGGGCAUGCCUGUUUGAGUAUCAUGAACACCUCAACUCUUCAUGGUUUUCCGUGAUGAGCUUGGACUUUGGGGGUUUUGCUGGCCUACGGUCGGCUCCUCUAAAAUGAAUCAGCUUGCCAGUGUUUGGUGGGCAUCACAGGUGUGAUAACUAUCUACGCUUGUGGUUUUCCCACCAGGUAACCUUCAGCAGUGGANGUUCGCUGGAGCUCACAGAUGUCUCUCCUCAGUGAGGACAGCCCUUUGAAUGUUUGAUCUCAAAUCAGGUAGGACUACCCGCUGAACUUAAGCAUAUCAUUA